rnacentral:rRNA from 1 species
GACGAACGCUGGCGGCGUGCUUAACACAUGCAAGUCGAACGGAAAGGCCCUGCUUUUGUGGGGUGCUCGAGUGGCGAACGGGUGAGUAACACGUGAGUAUCCUGCCCUUGUCUUUGGGAUAACUUCAGGAAACUGGGGCUAAUACCGGAUAGGAUCUCCUGCUGCAUGGUGGGGGUUGGAAAGUUUCGGCGGUUGGGGAUGGACUCGCUGCUUAUCGGCUGGCUGGUGGGGUAGUGGCUUACCAAGGGUUUGACGGGUACCCGGCAUGAGAGGGUGGCCGGCGACAUUGGGACUGAGAUACGGCCCAGACUCCUACGGGAGGCAGCAGUGGGGAAUAUUGCACAAUGGGCGGAAGCCUGAUGCAGCAACGCCGCGUGCGGGAUGACGGCCUUCGGGUUGUAAACCGCUUUCGCCUGUGACGAAGCGUGAGUGACGGUAAUGGGUAAAGAAGCACCGGCUAACUACGUG